CGUAGGGUGCAAGCGUUAAUCGGAAUUACUGGGCGUAAAGCGUGCGCAGGCGGUUGUGCAAGACAGAUGUGAAAUCCCCGGGCUCAACCUGGGAAUGGCAUUUGUGACUGCACGGCUAGAGUGUGUCAGAGGGGGGUAGAAUUCCACGUGUAGCAGUGAAAUGCGUAGAUAUGUGGAGGAAUACCGAUGGCGAAGGCAGCCCCCUGGGAUAACACUGACGCUCAUGCACGAAAGCGUGGGGAGCAAACAGGAUUAGAUACCCUGGUAGUCCACGCCCUAAACGAUGUCUACUAGUUGUCGGGUCUUAAUUGACUUGGUAACGCAGCUAACGCGUGAAGUAGACCGCCUGGGGAGUACGGUCGCAAGAUUA
rnacentral:rRNA from 1 species